GACGAACGCUGGCGGUGUGCUUAACACAUGCAAGUCGAACGGUAAGGCCCUUUCGGGGGUACACGAGUGGCGCACGGGUGAGUAACACGUGAGUAACCUGCCCUCAUCUCUGGGAUAACAGUCGGAAACGGUUGCUAAUACUGGAUAUGAGCUUGCAAGGCAUCUUGUGGGUUGGAAAGAUUUUUUUUGGUUGGGGAUGGACUCGCGGCCUAUCAGCUUGUUGGUGAGGUAGUGGCUCACCAAGGCUUCGACGGGUAGCCGGCCUGAGAGGGCGACCGGCCACAUUGGGACUGAGAUACGGCCCAAACUCCUACGGGAGGCAGCAGUGGGGAAUAUUGCACAAUGGACGGAAGUCUGAUGCAGCAACGCCGCGUGCGGGAUGACGGCCUUCGGGUUGUAAACCGCUUUCAAUUGUGACGAAGCUUUUUUGUGACGGUAGCAGGAGAAGAAGCACCGGCUAACUACGUG
rnacentral:rRNA from 1 species